rnacentral:lncRNA from 1 species
GUCGCCCUCCACCCGCCUGCAGAAAGCCCACUCCCUACAGUCACCUUGACAUUGCUCACCUGCCUGGGCCUCAGCCCAUGACCAAGGAAACUUUUGCCCUCCCUCCCCAGGAGCUCACUUACAGGCCAUCUUCAAAGGUACUGCCUACCUGAACCUGCCUUGUCCCAAAGGACACACUUCAAUCUGGGGAGAGUUUAAAGUUGUAGACAUAUCCAUUUUCAUUUAAGGAAUAUGAAGAUCAGGGAGGCAAAAUAUAGAGAUAUAGAGAGGAAAAACUGAGAGAUGAUCAGAAAUUCAGACGCAUUCGGAAUGAGCACCCUUGACCAUACCAAGAACAAAGACUCUAUAAAAAUGUGAAGUCUUAUUAUUGUUCAUCCAUGUUCUACGUGGGAUCCACCCAAGACAUUGAAAACUGUACAGAACAGGGUGAAAUUGAAUCAGAUCAUUCUGUACUCCUAACAAGGUCCACCCCAUGAGAGACUUGCAGCAGAAUUAAUGACACUGUAUAUUUUCCUCUACUAACAACAACAAGAACAACAACAACAACAAUCUAGGAAAAUCAAAGGCAGCCCGACAUGGAAAAAAACACAAAAUGAAUAUUUGGAUUACAAAUAGUGUGAUGGGAAGAACACACUGCCAAAAGUCCACCUAGUAUGUUGAAAUUACUGUUUCUAGCACAUAUAAGAUUUGCUGCCAAUUUGUACUGACUUCUGAAAAAUACUUUAUCCAUUGUCUUCUUACAUCAGAAUCAACUCCCUAAAUUCUUCAGCACUGGCUUUGUAAACUGGUUUCUGGUCUUUGUUUCUGUCAACUUACCUAUAAAAGGAUACAAAAACUGAAGAACAGAGAGGAGCAGAUACCCUGGAAAGCCGAAAGUUUUAUUGACCAAAGACUGAGUCUCGGAAUGUUUUGAUUGUGGAGUUUAUAGAGUUCAGGCUGAAGUUUUAUAAAAAUAACUUGCAGCAGCAUGGAGGACUGAUGAGAAAGUAGACAGAUGCUGGAAGCAGGAAAACUGAACAGCAGGUCACUGGCCAAGGAGAAUCAAAGAGCUAGAUGCUGAGAAUAAUGCAGCCAUAACGUGAAAUCUUUUUGAGACCACUCACUCUGGGAGAAAGCAACUGGCUAUGUCAUGAGGAAAUUGAAACCACCUAUGGAGAAAGGCCCACAUGGUGAGAAAGUAAAGCCUCUUCCCAAUACCAAAAUUCUGUAAGUCUGCUACGGUGACAUUUCUGGUUAGGAGUCAGAGUGGAUGGGACACUGAGCAAUAAGGCAAAGUUGGACAUCCCAAAGAUGGCAUAGAUAAACAUGACCAGGAAGAGCAGGAGGCCGAUGUUAAACAACGCAGGAAGGGACAUCAUCAAAGCAAAGAGCAGCGUGCGGAUCCCCUUUGCUCCUUUGAUCAGACGUAGGAUUCGGCCAAUCCUGGCAAGACGGAUCACUCGGAACAAGCACGCGGAACACAAUCAGGAAGGAGUGGAAGAAGUCGUUCAUGUGCCACCGUGGGAGCGUACAGUCAUCAUUGAUCUUGCAGACACAUUCUUUGUAGCUCUUACCAAAGAGCUGCAUGCCGACCACAGCAAAAAUGAAGACGAUGAUGGCCAACACCAAGGCUCCGAGCACAUCAUUGGCACCAAAAUAGAGCAAAGGACUGUG